CGGGUGCGUAACACGUAUACAAUCUGCCUUUAACAGGGGAUAGCCUUUCGAAAGAGAGAUUAAUACCCCAUAAUAGAUUUGUCGGCACCGAUAGAUUUUGAAAGCUCCGGCGGUUAAAGAUGAGUAUGCGUCUGAUUAGCUAGUUGGUGAGGUAACGGCUCACCAAGGCGACGAUCAGUAGGGGAUCUGAGAGGAUUAACCCCCACACGGAUACUGAGACACGGAUCCG
rnacentral:rRNA from 1 species